CCAGCACCCCGAGUGGUCGGGACGAUUAUUGGGCCUAAAGCAUCCGUAGCCGGUUUUACAAGUCCUCCGUUAAAUCCAACUGCUUAACAGAUGGGCCGCGGAGGAUACUAUAAGACUAGGAGGCAGGAGAGGCAAGCGGUACUCAGUGGGUAGGGGUAAAAUCCGUUGAUCCAUUGAAGACCACCAGUGGCGAAGGCGGCUUGCCAGAAUGCGCUCGACGGUGAGGGAUGAAAGCUGGGGGAGCAAACCGGAUUAGAUACCCGGGUAGUCCCAGCUGUAAACGAUGCAGACUCGGUGAUGGACUAGCUUCAUGCUAGUCCAGUGCCGCAGGGAAGCCGUUAAGUCUGCCGCCUGGGUAGUACGGUUGCGAGACUG
rnacentral:rRNA from 1 species